AUACAGAGGGUGCGAGCGUUAAUCGGAAUUACUGGGCGUAAAGCGAGUGUAGGUGGCUCAUUAAGUCACAUGUGAAAUCCCCGGGCUUAACCUGGGAACUGCAUGUGAUACUGGUGGUGCUAGAAUAUGUGAGGGGGAAGUAGAAUUCCAGGUGUAGCGGUGAAAUGCGUAGAGAUCUGGAGGAAUACCGAUGGCGAAGGCAGCUUCCUGGCAUAAUAUUGACACUGAGAUUCGAAAGCGUGGGUAGCAAACAGGAUUAGAAACCCCUGUAGUCC
rnacentral:rRNA from 1 species